rnacentral:lncRNA from 1 species
UAGCCAUACCCUUGCAAAAAUACAUUUGUUGUGUUGUCUUUGUACCUCACCAAUGAAUAUUAGCAUGACUUUUAUGUUCUUUUUUUGGCAUCUCUCUAGAUUGCAUGGUUCAACUAGGGCUGGUAUGGCCAUGCUCUGUCCAUGCCUUCAUGCUGUGGUGAUGUAUGCCGGAUUGAAGUUUGAGUGCACACAACUACUGUUAGUUCCAUUUGUUGUUCCUUUGUAAUCCUACGAUUCUCGGAUCUUUAGGUUCCAGACAACCACAUCAGCUCAACUUAAAUUUAAGAGUUAUCUAUUGCUCCUCUGUUUCAGUUAUCUUUUAAUGGACAUAUAUUCACAUAAUUUGCAUUGAACGGAGAUUAUUUUCAACCACUAUGAUAUCUGGUUCCAAUGUAUAGUUAAUUCGUACUCAUGCUGCUUUGAUUUUGGUCUGAAUAUUUUUUAACUUUCCUCAUGCACAGGUUAUCCUUCAGGGUUUGGUAUCUCUCAAUUUUUGUUCUGUACUUCUACUAUUACCAUCAUUUGAGUCUCCACUCCGUGAUAGAUUUUUUACAUGCAUGUUCACUGCGCCACCUUGUGCAUAAUCUAGGCAUUCUCUCUUUCUCUUGAUCUUUUCUAUGUUUCCAUCUCUUUUUGCCGGUUGCUUGCUAAAUUUGGUGCUGUGAAAUUUUUACCCCCCACAAAUAUCUUUAAUUAAUACUACGUUUUUUUCUUUUCCUUAAUGAUUUUAGGGACCAGGUACAUACUUCUACAUCCAUCCAUGCUUUUUGGGACCAGGUACACACUGCCACAUCCAUGUGGUCAACAUUUAUUUAGUUCAUAUGCACUCGGCUAAUAUUACCUCUUUGCUCAGGUUUUUGUUUCUUUCAACAGUCUACGGUGGCCAACACGGUAUUCACCUUAACAUCUUGCGAGUUAGGAGGAUGCGUGUUCAAAUCUCCAGAAUCAUCAAGUAUUGAUAUCAGAAAUUACAAAAAUAGAUGUCCUCUCUUUUGGCCUAUACUAUCAGCCCAACACAAAAACCAAACAUGGACUAUUGUGUUCCAUACUUAUUCUCCAUGACAACAAUGCUAUCACACCAUGAACCAAGCUAAGGUCAUCUGUCGUUUCACGCCAGGGCGCGCGCCCUCAACUAGUGUACAAGAUGGUGGCAGCUAGCCCUGAGUAGUCUCAUCCUGGUGGCUGGUGCAUCUGGUCCUCUACAUGCGUACACGUCCUAGGCGAUGUACUCCACAAGCAAUUUCUCAAGUACUCCAUCUAGAAACAAUAAAACUUUAAUUUUAUUCUAAGUCAAACCAUUUUAAGACUCACCAAGUUUAUAGAAAAACUGUAAUAUUUAUUCAUGACACCACAGUAUUAUACAAAAAAAAAACAAAUUUAAUAGACAACUCUAGGGAC